UUUUUCCAUGUUCAGUUAAAAACAACAUUUAUUUGGGCAUAAACCAAAAACAGCUAUUUUCAAAAGAAAACCCAUUUUUAAAAAAAAAUAAUUUUAAAAGGUGAAUUUUUGCGAAAUACAAAUUUACAUAAUAUCGGUCUACUUCUAAAUGCACAUGCAAAUACAUUAGAAGAGUUAUACAUUCAAGGAUUAAAUGAUAUAAAUUGCUCUUUAUUCAUUUACUCUAGUUGUAGUAUAUUGUUUGAUUUUUUAUCUAAAGAAAUUUUAUUUAAUAAUUUAUCAGUUAACUCUAUAAAAAAAAAUGAGUUAAAACAAGUUCAAGAUAUUAUAUUACAAUGGAGAGAGAAAGAAUUAAAAAAAGAAAAUGACAGUAGUGAUAGUAACUGUAGUAACAAAACAGAAACAUAUGCUCUGUUGAAUGAUGAUAACAACUAUGAUAUUAACCAGGAUAUAACAAAAAGAUCUGAAAAAUAUAUACCAACAAGGAUAGAAAAACCUCAAAUGUGUAAAAAAUAUAUGAACAACAAGCUAGAAUAUAAUAUAAAAAAUAUAGUAAAUAAUAUAGUAAAUAAUAAUAAUAAUAAUAAACAUAAAGUGUCUUUUUUAUGUGAACAUAUUAACGUUGUAUAUAAUUGUAAUAAAAAAUGUUUUGAAAAAAUACAAAAUUAUAAACAAAAAAUAAACCUGAACAAUUAUAUUAACAGUUUACAUUCACUUAAAAUACUUAAUUUGUCAGGUAUACAGAGUUAUGAUAUGAUUGAAAUGUUUAUAGAAAUAAAUUUACCAAAUUUAAAAACAUUGAAUAUAUUAUGUUAUGAUUACUUUUUUUAUUUUUAUCAUAUGCUUAUAUCUACUUGUUUUUAUGGAAAUGGAAAAGAAGUAUUUACACGAUAUAUAAAUUAUAAAAAAAAUGAAAACACGGAGAAUUAUUAUAACAGUUUUUAUCAUAGUAACAACAAUAACAGUAGUGAAUGUCAUACUAAUAAAAAAAAAGAAGUUUACGAAUGUAACCGACAAAUAUAUAACAUGAUAAAAGAAUUUGACGUACAGUUAAACGAAAUAAACAAUUAUAACAACAGCAGUGGAAACAACAGUGGAAACAACAGUGGAAACAACAGUGGUAAUAACAGUGGUAAUAACAGUGGUAAUAACAGUGGUAAUAACAGUGGAAACAACAGUGGCAAUAACAGUGGAAAUAACAGUGGAAACAAUAGUAAUAAAAACACAUGCUUCUGUUUUCAAAAACUCUAUGAAGAAGAUAUUAUUAAUUAUUAUGAAAUGAAUAUAAAAAAUAAUGCAAAAAAAAUAUUUAUUACACCUACAUAUGAUGAUAAAAUAUAUAUGAACAAUAUAAAUAACCCUAUAUAUUAUGCAGACGGUAGUUAUAUAAAAUAUGAUUCAGAUGGAGAAUAUAAAUAUGAUCAUAUACAAAACAAUUUAAAAAAAAAAACAAUGAAUAUUGAAAAUUAUACCGAUCUUAAUACUAGUAACAAUAAUAACUGCUCAGUUAUCACUCCUGAUUUUUAUUUUAAUCACAACUCUCCGAAAUAUAAAACUACUAACAUUAUUAAUAACAGACUGAAAACAAAAAGUGAUUAUAACGAUAAUAAAAAGGGUUAUAUCCAAAAAGGUGAUAACCCACGUACUGAUACAUAUACUGAGGUGCAUAGUCAAACAGAUGAACUUAACUAUUUAAAAACAUUAAAGAUAAAAAAAUUAAGAAAGGGAGGAUAUAUAUGGUUAAUAGAAAAUAAUGCAUAUAAAAAAUAUAUUAGUGUCGAAAUAUUAUAUUUAUUCAAAAAUAUAAUUGAAAAAGAAGAAAAAAAAGGAAGAAAACAUAUUAUAUGUUUAGUAUAUAAUUUAAACUUGGAACAUUUUUCAUUAUUUAAUUACAGUUUGAGUAGCCCAUUUUUAUGGUUACUACUAUUAAUUAAAAAUCAGAAAUUAAAAAAUAUAUGUAUAUUGGAUAUAUGUUUGUCACAUUUAUUGUCAGCAUUAACAUUUUUAGAAGCUUUCUUAAAACAACAUUUAUUUAAUUUUCAAGGAAUGAUGAGAAGAAGAAGAAAAAGACUCGGAAGUAUUUAUUUUAAAUUUAAUGAUAAAGAAGAAAUACAAUUCGUAAAUCAAAUGUAUUCAAAAGUUAUAAACCAAUUAAAUAAAUCAGGCUUUACACAAAAAAAAAAAAAAAAAAAUAAAGUUAUACAUAUUGUUAUUUAUGUAUACAAUAAUAAAAAAGAAAAUAAACAAUUUGUUAAAUAUAUAAGAAAAAUAACAAGAUCUUUAUGGAGAUGUAACUAUAUAGUAUAUUACACUAUACAAUAUUAUAACUAUAAAUAUUUUAAUAAAUAUUAUGAUAUUGAAAACUUAUAUAGGGAUUAUAUACUUAAUAUUCUUAUUUCAAAUCAUAAACUUAACCAAUCAAUUUUUAACAACCACCGCUACUUAUUGCUAAGAUGAUUCAAUUAGUUAUAUAGCUACAACGGUGAGUUGCUCUUUAAAA
rnacentral:lncRNA from 1 species